UACGAAGGGGGCUAGCGUUGCUCGGAAUCACUGGGCGUAAAGGAUGCGUAGGCGGGUCUUUAAGUCAGGGGUGAAAUCCUGGAGCUCAACUCCAGAACUGCCUUUGAUACUGAGGAUCUUGAGUUCGGGGGAGGUGAGUGGAACUGCGAGUGUAGAGGUGAAAUUCGUAGAUAUUCGCAAGAACACCAGUGGCGAAGGCGGCUCACUGGCCCGAUACUGACGCUGAGGCACGAAAGCGUGGGGAGCAAACAGG
rnacentral:rRNA from 1 species